GGGUUGUGAGGUUAAGCGACUAAGCGUACACGGUGGAUGCCCUGGCAGUCAGAGGCGAUGAAGGACGUGCUAAUCUGCGAAAAGCGUCGGUAAGGUGAUAUGAACCGUUAUAACCGGCGAUGUCCGAAUGGGGAAACCCAGUGCAAUUCGUUGCACUAUCGUUAACUGAAUACAUAGGUUAACGAGGCGAACCGGGGGAACUGAAACAUCUAAGUACCCCGAGGAAAAGAAAUCAACCGAGAUUCCCCCAGUAGCGGCGAGCGAACGGGGAGCAGCCCAGAGUCUGAAUCAGCUUGUGUGUUAGUGGAACGGUCUGGAAAGUCCGACGGUACAGGGUGAUAGUCCCGUACACCAAAAUGCACAGGCUGUGAACUCGAAGAGUAGGGCGGGACACGUGGUAUCCUGUCUGAAUAUGGGGGGACCAUCCUCCAAGGCUAAAUACUCCUGACUGACCGAUAGUGAACCAGUACCGUGAGGGAAAGGCGAAAAGAACCCCGGCGAGGGGAGUGAAAAAGAACCUGAAACCGUGUACGUACAAGCAGUGGGAGCACCUUCGGGUGUGACUGCGUACCUUUUGUAUAAUGGGUCAGCGACUUAUAUUCUGUAGCAAGGUUAACCGUAGUAGGGAGCCGCAGGAAACCGAGUCGUUAACUGGGCGUUAAGUUGCAGGGUAUAGACCCGAAACCCGGUGAUCUAGCCAUGGGCAGGUUGAAGGUUGGGUAACACUAACUGGAGGACCGAACCGACUAAUGUUGAAAAAUUAGCGGAUGACUUGUGGCUGGGGGUGAAAGGCCAAUCAAACCGGGAGAUAGCUGGUUCUCCCCGAAAGCUAUUUAGGUAGCGCCUCGUGAACUCAUCUUCGGGGGUAGAGCACUGUUUCGGCUAGGGGGUCAUCCCGACUUACCAACCCGAUGCAAACUACGAAUACCGAAGAAUGUUAUCACGGGAGACACACGGCGGGUGCUAACGUCCGUCGUGAAGAGGGAAACAACCCAGACCGCCAGCUAAGGUCCCAAAGUCAUGGUUAAGUGGGAAACGAUGUGGGAAGGCACAGACAGCCGGAUGUUGGCUUAGAAGCAGCCAUCAUUUAAAGAAAGCGUAAUAGCUCACUGGUCGAGUCGGCCUGCGCGGAAGAUGUAACGGGGCUAAACCAUGCACCGAAGCUGCGGCAGCGACACUAUGUGUUGUUGGGUAGGGGAGCGUUCUGUAAGCCUGCGAAGGUGACCUGUGAGGGUUGCUGGAGGUAUCAGAAGUGCGAAUGCUGACAUAAGUAACGAUAAAGCGGGUGAAAAGCCCGCUCGCCGGAAGACCAAGGGUUCCUGUCCAACGUUAAUCGGGGCAGGGUGAGUCGACCCCUAAGGCGAGGCCGAAAGGCGUAGUCGAUGGGAAACAGGUUAAUAUUCCUGUACUUGGUGUUACUGCGAAGGGGGGACGGAGAAGGCUAUGUUAGCCGGGCGACGGUUGUCCCGGUUUAAGCAUGUAGGCUGGUUAUCCAGGCAAAUCCGGAUAAUCAAGGCUGAGGUGUGAUGACGAGGCACUACGGUGCUGAAGUAACAAAUGCCCUGCUUCCAGGAAAAGCCUCUAAGCAUCAGGUAACAUUGAAUCGUACCCCAAACCGACACAGGUGGUCAGGUAGAGAAUACCAAGGCGCUUGAGAGAACUCGGGUGAAGGAACUAGGCAAAAUGGUGCCGUAACUUCGGGAGAAGGCACGCUGGUGUGUAGGUGAAGCCCCUGCGGGUGGAGCUGAGACCAGUCGAAGAUACCAGCUGGCUGCAACUGUUUAUUAAAAACACAGCACUGUGCAAACACGAAAGUGGACGUAUACGGUGUGACGCCUGCCCGGUGCCGGAAGGUUAAUUGAUGGGGUUAUCCGUAAGGAGAAGCUCUUGAUCGAAGCCCCGGUAAACGGCGGCCGUAACUAUAACGGUCCUAAGGUAGCGAAAUUCCUUGUCGGGUAAGUUCCGACCUGCACGAAUGGCGUAAUGAUGGCCAGGCUGUCUCCACCCGAGACUCAGUGAAAUUGAACUCGCUGUGAAGAUGCAGUGUACCCGCGGCAAGACGGAAAGACCCCGUGAACCUUUACUAUAGCUUGACACUGAACAUUGAGCCUUGAUGUAGGAUAGGUGGGAGGCUUUGAAGCGUGGACGCCAGUCUGCGUGGAGCCAACCUUGAAAUACCACCCUUUAAUGUUUGAUGUUCUAACGUUGGCCCCUGACCGGGGUUGCGGACAGUGUCUGGUGGGUAGUUUGACUGGGGCGGUCUCCUCCCAAAGCGUAACGGAGGAGCACGAAGGUUAGCUAAUCCUGGUCGGACAUCAGGAGGUUAGUGCAAUGGCAUAAGCUAGCUUGACUGCGAGCGUGACGGCGCGAGCAGGUGCGAAAGCAGGUCAUAGUGAUCCGGUGGUUCUGAAUGGAAGGGCCAUCGCUCAACGGAUAAAAGGUACCGGGGAUAACAGGCUGAUACCGCCCAAGAGUUCAUAUCGACGGCGGUGUUUGGCACCUCGAUGUCGGCUCAUCACAUCCCGGGCUGAAGUAGGUCCCAAGGGUAUGGCUGUUCGCCAUUUAAAGUGGUACGCGAGCUGGGUUUAGAACGUCGUGAGACAGUUCGGUCCCUAUCUGCCGUGGGCGCUGGAGAAUUGAGGGGGGCUGCUCCUAGUACGAGAGGACCGGAGUGGACGCAUCACUGGUGUUCGGGUUGUCAUGCCAAUGGCACUGCCCGGUAGCUAAAUGCGGAAGAGAUAAGUGCUGAAAGCAUCUAAGCACGAAACUUGCCCCGAGAUGAGUUCUCCCUGAGACUUUAAGUCUCCUGAAGGAACGUUAAAGACGAUGACGUUGAUAGGCCGGGUGUGUAAGCGCAGCGAUGCGUUGAGCUAACCGGUACUAAUGAACCGUGAGGCUUAACCUUACAACGCCGAAG
rnacentral:rRNA from 1 species